UUUAACUAAACUAAAGUCGCUUUUAAAAGAUGACAUGUGUCUUGUAGAUGAUGCUGUUGCUAAAAUCUGUGAUUGUGUAAGAGAUUCUGAUUUAUUUUCUGUUUGUCAUCAUGGGCCACUGAGAACAACAUAUUCAAGAACUCAGACUUUCAAAAACAUGUUCAAAUACACAGAACCAAAGCAAAUAUCUUUAGGAAGUGAUGAAAACAUGACCCAGAGAUUUUCUUACUACAUACCCAUUAAACAGACACUAAGUGCACUUUUAGAAUCAGACUUAUGGAAGAAUUCAGUGUUGGAACAGUCCAAUGACUCACACCCGGAUGUUUUCUGUGACAUAAGUGAUGGCCAAAACUUCAAGUGCAACCAGUUCUUCAUUGAAAAUCCUGGGUGCCUGAAGCUUAUUCUCUACCAAGAUGCCUUUGAAAUUGUUAACCCCCUUGGUUCAGCAAAGAAGAAACACAAAGUUGUCGCUAUUUAUCUAUCUGUGGCUAACUUACCUGCUCAUGUGCGGUCAAGCACUGAUCACAUGUCUCUAGUUUCAUUGUGUUUCGAGAACGAUUUAAAACAGUUUGGAACUGCAAAGGUUUGCUCUGAACUUCUCAUGGAUUUGAGAGAUUUAGAGGAACAUGGCAUUAUUGCAGGUGAAGAAACAGUCAAAGGAGCACUGUUCUGUAUUGCUGGUGACAAUUUAGGAUCACACAGCAUUGGUGGGUUUACUGAAAACUUUAGUACUUCUCAGUACUUUUGUAGAUACUGUGAAAUCACAAGAAAAGACUUUCUUAAUGAUCCAAAUGCUUGUGGUCCACAGCGAACCCCUGCAGCUUACAAUUUGGCAGUGCAUCAUCGAGAGAUUGGAAGCAUUCAAGACAACAAAGGUGUCAAGAAAUGGCUGAGCAAACAUUUUUACGCAGUGCUAUCAAUGAAGUGUUGCCCGAACUUGCAGAGGCUUCAAAAUACAUUCUCGAGGAGACUUUACAGUCAAUUGGAGUAGAAACGUAUGAUGACUUCCAGUUCAUUGUUGAGAAGGACUUGCUGUCAGCAUUAAGACCAAUUCAAGCCAGAAAGGCACUUGCUGCUUGGAAAUUAAGAUGCCGGACCCCUGAAACCAGCAGGUCCUCAAGUAAUGCAUCACCAGAUACUCCUCCAUCACAGCAGUCUUCGUCCCCGCUAAGUGUGUCAUCAAACUCCUCCAGCAGCAACCAGACAUCUGCAGCAGACUGGGUGGACACCUUUGAGAUACCAUGGAAAAGUUCUCAGAAGAACUGAUGCAGGCAUUAGAGAGAGGUAAACGCCCAAGUCCAAAAAUGAGGAAGGAGAUGGUCAGGAUUGUGGUGUCUGAAAUGAUGCGAAAAAGUUCUUACUUGGGUAAAAGAAGUUCUACAGAGGUUGCAAAGAAGAUGGUGGCAAAAUAUCCAAAAUCUCUACAAGACGUUAUCGAUGGAGAUGUCAUUGGCCCUGGCUAUCAUUCACUCGUCAAACAACUUCAAUAUCGAAUUGACAAUGCGAAGCGAUCUACAAUGCCUAAAAUAAGAAAGCGAAAGCGCUGCUCUGAAAACUCUGACACAGAUGAAAUUCCUCAGGAACAGAGAGCUGCAAUUCAGGACACCUAUGGGUGUAUCAACUGGAAUGUAAAAUUCCUUCCUCUUGGAGAAACUGCUGAAAGUCAGCAACAGAAGAAGGACAAGCUCAAGAUGAUGUCUCUGCAGAAGGAGGCCAAUCCUGAGGAGAUGAAAGAAUUACUGAGGACAACUUUCUACUCACAGCGCAAAGAUAUUAACCAGGGGAAAAGUAUUCAAGAUGUCUUGGAAGCCUGGCCUGUUUUAUUUCAUGACAUUGGGAUGGCUGUACACUACAAGGAACUUACUGGACUUGGAUUGAAGGAAACCUUCAUGAGGAACAUUGAUAUGAAGGGAAAAAGA